rnacentral:ncRNA from 1 species
UAUUUUGCCUUGAACAAGAAUAGUAAUAUUGAACUCAUCUAAAGAGAGCUGUUGAUUGCUGCAAAACAGUGAUGAUUAUAUAUGAACUCGCUUGGGAGCAUUACUACUAAAAAGUAGUACGGUUAAUCCGUUAUAUUAUAAAGUGAGGUUCUUACCUAAGUAGAGUGGUACCACGGAGUUUAACCUUCGUCUCUUUU